UUAUAUCAAAAUAUCAAUGAAAGGGGGACAGACGGAGGAGCUAGUAUAGAGCAGCGCUGUGUCCUUGGCAACCGUCUCUUUGGAGACCUGUGUGAUGUAAGCAUCCCAGGCAGCCUGCAUCUUUUUCAGCUCUGCGGACAGCCUUUAAAUCACCAAAAGAUUUUUAAAUUAUUAUAAUGAGACAAGCUGCAAAUCUAACUACUUUGGAACAGCAAUGGGUUUGGAUUCAUCACUCAUCAUUAUUGGGACAGAGGGAUAUUUGUUUGGCUGUAAACAUUAUUUCACAUGAGCAGACGUAUUAAAUGGACGUGCGUUUGUUGGUGAGGGUGUAGCAGGA